UACGUAGGGGGCAAGCGUUGUUCGGAAUUACUGGGCGUAAAGGGCGCGUAGGCGGCCUGUUAAGUCGGACGUGAAAUCCCUCGGCUCAACCGGGGAACUGCGUCCGAUACUGGCGGGCUUGAAUUCGGGAGAGGGAUGUGGAAUUCCAGGUGUAGCGGUGAAAUGCGUAGAUAUGGGGAGGAACACCGGUGGCGAAGGCGGCCACCUGGACGGUAACUGACGCUGAGACGCGAAAGCGUGGGGAGCAAACAGG
rnacentral:rRNA from 1 species